rnacentral:misc_RNA from 1 species
UAGAGGAAGUAAAAGUCGUAACAAGGUUUCCGUAGGUGAACCUGCGGAAGGAUCAUUAUCGUACAACCGAGGCACGAAGGGCUGUCGCUGACUUUUUUGUCGUGCACGCCCGAGUGCUCUCAAACAAUCCAUCUCACCCUAUGUGCACCACCGCGUGGGUCCCCCUUUUGAUCGUUACGAGGGGGGCCAGCGUUUUCACACAAACUUAAAUACAGUGUAGAAUGUCUUUUGCGAUAACACGCAAGUAAUACAACUUUCAACAACGGAUCUCUUGGCUCUCGCAUCGAUGAAGAACGCAGCGAAAUGCGAUACGUAAUGUGAAUUGCAGAAUUCAGUGAAUCAUCGAAUCUUUGAACGCACCUUGCGCCCCUUGGCAUUCCGAGGGGCACACCCGUCAGAGAGUCGUGAAAUUCUCAAAAGCCUUUCUUAAUGAAAGGAUUUUGGACAUGGAGGCUUUUGCCGGCUUCACCUCGAAUCCAGCUCGUGUUAAACUAAUUAGUGGGGUAUGCUUUGCCGAUCCUCGACGUGAUAAGAGGUUUCUACGUCUGGGGU